CGCAGAUGAUGUGCACGAAUAUUUGCUAGCCGAGCCGCCCUGACGACUCACGACCACCAAGAUCGCUGAUGCG